rnacentral:rRNA from 1 species
GGGCACGACACCGGAGAGGGAGCCUGAGAAACGGCUACCACAUCCAAGGAAGGCAGCAGGCGCGCAAAUUACCCAAUCCCGACACGGGGAGGUAGUGACAAUAAAUAACAAUACAGGGUUCUUUUGGAUCUUGUAAUUGGAAUGAGUACAAUUUAAAUCUCUUAACGAGGAACAAUUGGAGGGCAAGUCUGGUGCCAGCAGCCGCGGUAAUUCCAGCUCCAAUAGCGUAUAUUAAAGUUGUUGCAGUUAAAAAGCUCGUAGUUGAAUUUCGGGAUCAAUAUUUCGGUCAUGCCGUUGGUAUGCACUGUUAUAAUUGAUUUCUCACCUUCUAAAGAACCGUAAUGCCAUUAAUUUGGUGUUACGGGGAAUUAGGACUGUUACCUUGAAAAAAUUAGAGUGUUUAAAGCAGGCUCACGCUUGAAUACAUUAGCAUGGAAUAAUGAAAUAGGACAUCCGAUUCUAUUUUGUUGGUUUCUAGGAUCGAUGUAAUGAUUAAUAGGGAUAGUUGGGGGCAUUAGUAUUCAAUUGUCAGAGGUGAAAUUCUUGGAUUUAUUGAAGACUAACUACUGCGAAAGCAUUUGCCAAGGAUGUUUUCAUUAAUCAAGAACGAAAGUUAGGGGAUCGAAGACGAUCAGAUACCGUCGUAGUCUUAACCAUAAACUAUGCCGACUAGGGAUCGGAUGAUGUUAAUUUUUUAAUGACUCAUUCGGCGCCUUACGGGAAACCAA